rnacentral:tRNA from 1 species
AGUGUUAUGACUGACUUAAAGUAAUAAACUGUAAAUUUAUUCAUGAAAUUUAUUUUCUAACACUA